rnacentral:rRNA from 1 species
GACGAACGCUGGCGGCGUGCUUAACACAUGCAAGUCGAACGAUGAAACCGGAGCUUGCUCCGGUGGAUUAGUGGCGAACGGGUGAGUAACACGUGAGUAACCUGCCCUUGACUCUGGGAUAACUGCGGGAAACUGUAGCUAAUACCGGAUACGACCCUCGGCGGCAUCGCCAGGGGGUGGAAAGAAUUUCGGUCAAGGAUGGACUCGCGGCCUAUCAGCUAGUUGGUGAGGUAACGGCUGACCAAGGCGACGACGGGUAGCCGGCCUGCGAGGGUGACCGGCCACACUGGGACUGAGACACGGCCCAGACGCCUACGUGAGGCAGCAGUGGGGAAUAUUGCACAGUGGGCGCAAGCCUGAUGCAGCAGCGCCGCGUGAGGGAUGACGGCCUUCGGGUUGUAAACCUCUUUUAGUAGGGAAGAAGCGAAAGUGACGGUACCUGCAGAAAAAGCACCGGCUAACUACGUGCCAGCCGCCGCGGUAA